rnacentral:rRNA from 1 species
GUGGCGAACGGGUGAGUAACACGUGGGCAAUCUGCCCUUCACUCUGGGACAAGCCCUGGAAACGGGGUCUAAUACCGGAUACAACCACUACAGGCAUCUGUGGGUGGUGGAAAGCUCCGGCGGUGAAGGAUGAGCCCGCGGCCUAUCAGCUUGUUGGUGAGGUAAUGGCUCACCAAGGCGACGACGGGUAGCCGGCCUGAGAGGGCGACCGGCCACACUGGGACUGAGACACGGCCCAGACUCCUACGGGAGGCAGCAGUGGGGAAUAUUGCACAAUGGGCGAAAGCCUGAUGCAGCGACGCCGCGUGAGGGAUGACGGCCUUCGGGUUGUAAACCUCUUUCAGCAGGGAAGAAGCGAAAGUGACGGUACCUGCAGAAGAAGCGCCGGCUAACUACGUGCCAGCAGCCGCGGUAAUACGUAGGGCGCGAGCGUUGUCCGGAAUUAUUGGGCGUAAAGAGCUCGUAGGCGGUCUGUCGCGUCGGAUGUGAAAGCCCGGGGCUUAACCCCGGGUCUGCAUUCGAUACGGGCAGACUAGAGUGUGGUAGGGGAGAUCGGAAUUCCUGGUGUAGCGGUGAAAUGCGCAGAUAUCAGGAGGAACACCGGUGGCGAAGGCGGAUCUCUGGGCCAUUACUGACGCUGA